CUACUUAUCUGGCAGGCAGGGGAGACCCCAAGAUCACGUAGAUGGUUUUCCCAGGGUGAAGUUUGUCCAUUGCCCUCUGGGUAUGCUGACCCCUGCAAUUUCCCCAAAUAUGGGAAACUUCACCUUGCAAUUUGUGGGUAGUGGGGCAUUGUGUUCACACUCUUCUCUG